GACGAACGCUGGCGGCGUGCCUAAUACAUGCAAGUUGAGCGCUGAAGGUUGGUACUUGUACCAACUGGAUGAGCAGCGAACGGGUGAGUAACGCGUGGGGAAUCUGCCUUUGAGCGGGGGACAACAUUUGGAAACGAAUGCUAAUACCGCAUAAAAACUUUAAACACAAGUUUUAAGUUUGAAAGAUGCAAUUGCAUCACUCAAAGAUGAUCCCGCGUUGUAUUAGCUAGUUGGUGAGGUAAAGGCUCACCAAGGCGAUGAUACAUAGCCGACCUGAGAGGGUGAGCGGCCACAUUGGGACUGAGACACGACCCAAACUCCUACGGGAGGCAGCAGUAGGGAAUCUUCGGCAAUGGACGAAAGUCUGACCGAGCAACGCCGCGUGAGUGAAGAAGGUUUUCGGAUCGUAAAACUCUGUUGGUAGAGAAGAACGUUGGUGGGAGUGGAAAGCUCAUCAAGUGACGGUAACUACCCAGAAAGGGACGGCUAACUACGUG
rnacentral:rRNA from 1 species